rnacentral:rRNA from 1 species
UACGGAGGGUGCAAGCGUUAUCCGGAUUCACUGGGCUUAAAGGGUGUGUAGGCGGGUAUUUAAGUCAGUGGUGAAAUCUCCAGGCUCAACCUGGAAACUGCCAUUGAUACUAUUUAUCUUGAAUCCUGUUGAGGUGGGCGGAAUAUAUCAUGUAGCGGUGAAAUGCUUAGAUAUGAUAUAGAACACCGAUUGCGAAGGCAGCUCACUAAGCAGGUAUUGACGCUGAGGCACGAAAGCGUGGGGAUCAAACAGG